rnacentral:misc_RNA from 1 species
GAUGAAGAACGCAGCGAAAUGCGAUACGUAAUGUGAAUUGCAGAAUUCAGUGAAUCAUCGAAUCUUUGAACGCACAUUGCGCCCGCCAGCACUCUGGCGGGCAUGCCUGUUCGAGCGUCAUUUCAACCAUCAAGCCCCAGGCUUGCGUUGGAGCCCUGCGACUGCCGCAGCCUCCUAAAAGCAGUGGCGGGCUCGCUAUCACACCGAGUGCAGUAGAUUACUCUUCGCUCAGGGCGUGCAGCGGGUUCCGGCCGUGAAACCCCCUACUUUUAAAGGUUGACCUCGGAUCAGGUAGGAAUACCCGCUGAACUUAAGCAUAUCAAUAAGCGGAGGA